rnacentral:rRNA from 1 species
UCGAGCGGAUGACGGGAGCUUGCUCCUUGAUUCAGCGGCGGACGGGUGAGUAAUGCCUAGGAAUCUGCCUGGUAGUGGGGGACAACGUUUCUGAAAGGAACGCUAAUACCGCAUACGUCCUACGGGAGAAAGCAGGGGACCUUCGGGCCUUGCGCUAUCAGAUGAGCCUAGGUCGGAUUAGCUAGUUGGUGAGGUAAUGGCUCACCAAGGCGACGAUCCGUAACUGGUCUGAGAGGAUGAUCAGUCACACUGGAACUGAGACACGUUCCAGACUAAUACGGGAGGCAGCAGUGGGGAAUAUUGGACAAUGGGCGAAAGCCUGAUCCAGCCAUGCCGCGUGUGUGAAGAAGGUCUUCGGAUUGUAAAGCACUUUAAGUUGGGAGGAAGGGCAGUAAGUUAAUACCUUGCUGUUUUGACGUUACCGACAGAAUAAGCACCGGCUAACUCUGUGCCAGCAGCCGCGGUAAUACAGAGGGUGCAAGCGUUAAUCGGAAUUACUGGGCGUAAAGCGCGCGUAGGUGGUUCGUUAAGUUGGAUGUGAAAGCCCCGGGCUCAACCUGGGAACUGCAUCCAAAACUGGCGAGCUAGAGUAUGGUAGAGGGUGGUGGAAUUUCCUGUGUAGCGGUGAAAUGCGUAGAUAUAGGAAGGAACACCAGUGGCGAAGGCGACCACCUGGACUGAUACUGACACUGAGGUGCGAAAGCGU